rnacentral:rRNA from 1 species
CGCGAUUCGCCCUUCGGGGUGCAGCAGGCGCGAAAACUUUACAAUGCUGGCAACAGCGAUAAGGGGACCUCGAGUGCCAGGUUACAAAUCUGGCUGUCGUGAUGCCUAAAAAGCAUUGCAUAGCAAGGGCCGGGCAAGACCGGUGCCAGCCGCCGCGGUAACACCGGCGGCUCGAGUGGUAACCGUUAUUAUUGGGUCUAAAGGGUCUGUAGCCGGCCGGAUAAGUCUCUUGGGAAAUCCAGCAGCUCAACUGUUGGGCUUUCAGGAGAUACUGUCUGGCUCGAGGCCGGGAGAGGUGAGAGGUACUUCAGGGGUAGGGGUGAAAUCUUGUAAUCCUUGAAGGACCACCAGUGGCGAAGGCGUCUCACCAGAACGGACCUGACGGCAAGGGACGAAAGCUAGGGGCACGAACCGGAUUAGAUACCCGGGUAGUCCUAGCCGUAAACGAUACUCGCUAGGUGUCGGCCACGGUGCGACCGUGGUCGGUGCCGUAGGGAAGCCGUGAAGCGAGCCACCUGGGAAGUACGGCCGCAAGGCUGAAACUUAAAGGAAUUGGCGGGGGAGCAC